GCGCACGCACCAGUUUCUCUACCUCUGCGCUCCGCUAGCUAGCCGAUCGACUAGCCCGUUGGUCUAUUGGUUCGUACAGGUACACGCGAAAUCGGACUGACGUGCCCUAAUCGUCUCCUUCCUCCUCCCUUCGCUCAUCCAUCGAUUCGCUGUCUGCCUGCCUGCCUGCAGACACAACCGCCGCCGACGGACGUCGUGCCCUUCCACCUACGCCACAUCCGCGGUAGAGAAGAGGCCGGGUCAGGCGGACUGAGAUCGUCCGAUGGUGGCAUGCGGGGGAGGGGGCAGAGGCCGCCAGGCCGGUGCUUGUUGAGGCCGCCUAGAGAGGAAGGAGGAGCGAGGAGGCGGGGCGGCGCGUAAGAAGUCCUCCGCACAGACUUUUGGUAGGAACUGUGGUGUCCUGUCUUCGAUUCGUCUAGUCGUCCCCUGACUCCUCCUCUGAACUAGGACGAGGAUGUAGUCCCGGCCGGCCCUUCUACCCAAAGGACAGCGACGAGCACCACCGGAGGUACGGGUAGCACGUCCAGGACGAGUAGCCGCAGUAGCCUCGGAAGGAGCGGAGCCCCAUGUCGUUCCAGGAGUGGCGGUCGCGGGCGUCCCUGUACUUGUUCCAACAAAAAUGUCAGAAGUGGGGUAGAGAGUAGAAGCGGUUGGAGCGGUUCUGCCAGUGUGAGAGGCUGCAGUAGAGGACCACCAAGUACGGCCACUUGUAUCGUUAGUGUAAGGACCAACCGUCACGAGAUCCGACCGAUCGCACGUUCUAGGACUUUGGCGGCGGCGUAAAGGCACCGGAGUAGUACCGGAAGACGAGUCGUCCUUUGGAGCCUUUGAACGACGACUAGCAGCAGGGCCGGCAAACGCUGCUUCUGCCAUUGGGCAAACCCUCGCUGGCCUUGGUCACGGCGAGCGCGCCGGAGAGGAUGAGCAGCGACAGGUACCGAGAGCCACCGGAGAAGUAUACCUGCAUGUGGAUGUCAGACUACGUCUUCAGACCGUUCGACAUGGUGUUCUACGUCAGGUUCUCGUAGGUCACGGGCCGGCUGUCACUGCUCCUCGUAGAGCUCCCUAAGUUUCGGCCGCUGCUCCUUCGCCGAGAGGGCCGCAGGCGAUCUGGACUUCUUGUCUUACUCCCCUCGGUCUAACUCCGAGGUGAGGACAGCACGCUCUCGCUACAGCGGUUGUUGUUUCCCAAGACCUGCUUGGACUUCCUCCGGCACGUGGUCGAGUAGCUCCUCGAGUACCGCGGCGGCUGGUAUAGGCGCUAUUAACCUAAGCAACAACCCGAUCACGGUACCGACUUCAGCGACUAGUAGCCGCUUCCGCGGGGAGAGUCUCAAUAGGUCCUAAGAGACCUCAACUACCCGUUACCGUGAUAUGGGACGUAGUGGGAGUAGGAGCCUCCUUUGGACUGGGUUCCCGACGCCUUCAGCCACGACUUCGCGUGCCACUAGUACCGCUAGCACACGUAGGCGAUGCACCGAUACGGCCAAUAGCCCUAGCGACAGCACGCGCACCGUGUGCCGCAACCCAAGGAAGGGGUGCUGGGCGAGAUGGCGAUGCACGACUACUACGUUAGGCGGGACGGCGGGCGGUACUUGUAGCCCUGGUACCGUGUCGACAAGCUGCAGCCCGUCCUCCUCACGAGCCACUAGAAGGACACCUGCAUGGAGCAGCGCCGGCACCGCGAGUGGUGGACCAGGUGGCAAAAGUACAGGUAGGAGAGGACUUCGUCCGUUGGUGCUCGUCAAGUUAAAACAUUCCCCAGUCCCUCUUAAGGGCAUCUAAGGUAAACAUUUCACAAGUAAUGUCUCAAACAUUCAUCUGUGCGGUAAGAAAGACAUAUGAUUUAUGAUCAGGUAAAAAAGACCUUUUUAUAUGACCAGGUAAAAGUCGGACAGGACGAAAACGUUGUCUGACGUGAUCACCUUCCUAGGGACACUACCUUACUAGUUCGUGAUUAAGUAAUAUUUUAGCUU
rnacentral:rRNA from 1 species